rnacentral:ncRNA from 1 species
CCUUUGGACUGCUACAUUAAACUAGAGUAGAAAUUGAAUUUCAAAAUAGAGCAGGAGGAAAAAGGAA